rnacentral:rRNA from 1 species
AUUGAACGCUGGCGGCAGGCCUAACACAUGCAAGUCGAACGGUAACAGGAAGAAGCUUGCUUCUUUGCUGACGAGUGGCGGACGGGCGAGUAAUGUCUGGGAAACUGCCUGAUGGAGGGGGAUAACUACUGGAAACGGUAGCUAAUACCGCAUAACGUCGCAAGACCAAAGAGGGGGACCUUCGGGCCUCUUGCCAUCGGAUGUGCCCAGAUGGGAUUAGCUAGUAGGUGGGGUAACGGCUCACCUAGGCGUCGAUCCCUAGCUGGUCUGAGAGGAUGACCAGCCACACUGGAACUGAGACACGGUCCAGACUCCUACGGGAGGCAGCAGUGGGGAAUAUUGCACAAUGGGCGCAAGCCUGAUGCAGCCAUGCCGCGUGUAUGAAGAAGGCCUUCGGGUUGUAAAGUACUUUCAGCGGGGAGGAAGGGAGUAAAGUUAAUACCUGUGCUCAUUGACGUUACCCGCAGAAGAAGCACCGGCUAACUCCGUG